rnacentral:misc_RNA from 1 species
GAAUUGCGAUAAGUAGUGUGAAUUGCAGAAUUCCGUGAAUCAUCGAAUCUUUGAACGCAUAUUGCACUCUUUGGUAUUCCGAAGAGUAUGCCUGUUUGAGGGUCAUUUGAAAAUUAAUCUAGACUUUUUUUUAGUCUUGGAAUAAUGAGUUUUCCGCGUUACAAUAUCAUAUGAUAUGGUAAUUGGUCACUCGAAAUUAAUGCCAUGUCUUGGCUUGUAACAGACGCGUUUAUUUUAAAUUUUAAAUGUUCGCAACUAAUCAAGUCUUGUGUAAUGGCAUGUUCAAUUUCCUCCUUUUAAAAGAGGAAGAAAUCGAACAACCAACUUUAUAUAAUCGUGACCUCAAAUCAGGUAAGAGUACCCGCUGAACUUAA